CUCUCAGAAAACUGCGUGGUCCC
rnacentral:piRNA from 1 species